AAGAAACUAACUAGGAUUCCCUUAGUAACGGCGAGUGAACCGGGAUGAGCUCAAAUUUAAAAUCUGGCGUCUUUCAGGCGUCCGAGUUGUAAUCUAUAGAGGCGUUUUCCGCGCCGGACCGCGUCCAAGUCUCUUGGAAUAGAGUAUCAAAGAGGGUGACAAUCCCGUACUUGACGCGACAACCGGUGCUCUGUGAUACGUUCUCAAUGAGUCGAGUUGUUUGGGAAUGCAGCUCUAAAUGGGUGGUAAAUUCCAUCUAAGGCUAAAUAUUGGCGAGAGACCGAUAGCGAACAAGUACCGUGAGGGAAAGAUGAAAAGCACUUUGGAAAGAGAGUUAAACAGCACGUGAAAUUGUUAAAAGGGAAACGAUUGAAGUCAGUCGUGUGAAAGGUAUUCAGCCGUCUCUGGCGGUGUAUUUGCCUUUCACGGGUCAACAUCAGUUUGAUCCGGUAGAAAAAGGCGGGAGGAAGGUGGCACCCUCGGGUGUGUUAUAGCCUCCUGUCAUAUGUGCCGGACCAGACUGAGGAACGCAGCUUGCCGCAAGGCCGGGGUUCGCCCACGUACAA
rnacentral:rRNA from 1 species